GUGGGGAAUUUUGGACAAUGGGGGCAACCCUGAUCCAGCCAUGCCGCGUGCGGGAAGAAGGCCUUCGGGUUGUAAACCGCUUUUGUCAGGGAAGAAAUCCUUUGGGUUAAUACCUCGGAGGGAUGACGGUACCUGAAGAAUAAGCACCGGCUAACUACGUGCCAGCAGCCGCGGUAAUACGUAGGGUGCGAGUGUUAAUCGGAAUUACUGGGCGUAAAGCGUGCGCAGGCGGUUUUGUAAGAUCGAUGUGAAAUCCCCGGGCUCAACCUGGGAACUGCAUUGGUGACUGCAAGGCUGGAGUGCGGCAGAGGGGGAUGGAGUUCCGCGUGUAGCAGUGAAAUGCGUAGAUAUGCGGAGGAACACCGAUGGCGAAGGCAAUCCCCUGGGCCUGCACUGACGCUCAUGCACGAAAGCGUGGGGAGCAAACAGGAUUAGAUACCCCGGUAGUCC
rnacentral:rRNA from 1 species